GACGAACGCUGGCGGCGUGCCUAAUACAUGCAAGUAGAACGCUGAAGCGAGGAGCUUGCUCUUCUUGGAUGAGUUGCGAACGGGUGAGUAACGCGUAGGUAACCUGCCUUGUAGCGGGGGAUAACUAUUGGAAACGAUAGCUAAUACCGCAUAACAAUGGAUGACACAUGUCAUUUAUUUGAAAGGGGCAAUUGCUCCACUACAAGAUGGUCCUGCGUUGUAUUAGCUAGUAGGUGAGGUAAUGGCUCACCUAGGCGACGAUACAUAGCCGACCUGAGAGGGUGAUCGGCCACACUGGGACUGGGACACGGCCCAGACUCCUACGGGAGGCAGCAGUAGGGAAUCUUCGGCAAUGGGGGCAACCCUGACCGAGCAACGCCGCGUGAGUGAAGAAGGGUUUCGGAUCGUAAAGCUCUGUUGUAAGUCAAGAACGGGUGUGAGAGUGGAAAGUUCACACUGUGACGGUAGCUUACCAGAAAGGGACGGCUAACUACGUG
rnacentral:rRNA from 1 species